AGUGAGCGCUGGCAGUAGGCCUAACACAUGCAAGUCGAACGGCAGCACAGUAAGAGCUUGCUCUUACGGGUGGCGAGUGGCGGACGGGUGAGGAAUACAUCGGAAUCUACUUUUUCGUGGGGGAUAACGUAGGGAAACUUACGCUAAUACCGCAUACGACCUACGGGUGAAAGCAGGGGAUCUUCGGACCUUGCGCGAUUGAAUGAGCCGAUGUCGGAUUAGCUAGUUGGCGGGGUAAAGGCCCACCAAGGCGACGAUCCGUAGCUGGUCUGAGAGGAUGAUCAGCCACACUGGAACUGAGACACGGUCCAGACUCCUACGGGAGGCAGCAGUGGGGAAUAUUGGACAAUGGGCGAAAGCCUGAUCCAGCCAUACCGCGUGGGUGAAGAAGGCCUUCGGGUUGUAAAGCCCUUUUGUUGGGAAAGAAAAGCAGCAGGUUAAUACCCCGCUGUUCUGACGGUACCCAAAGAAUAAGCACCGGCUAACUUCGUG
rnacentral:rRNA from 1 species